rnacentral:rRNA from 1 species
AACCUUGGGGUUGGCUCUUGUCUAUGUUUCUUGGAACAGGACGUCACAGAGGGUGAGAAUCCCGUGCGAUGAGAUGCCCAAUCCUAUGUAAGGUGCUUUCGAAGAGUCGAGUUGUUUGGGAAUGCAGCUCUAAGUGGGUGGUAAAUUCCAUCUAAAGCUAAAUAUUGGCGAGAGACCGAUAGCGAACAAGUACAGUGAUGGAAAGAUGAAAAGAACUUUGAAAAGAGAGUGAAAAAGUACGUGAAAUUGUUGAAAGGGAAGGGUUUGAGAUCAGACUCGAUAUUUUGUGAGCCUUGCCUUCGUGGCGGGGUGACCCGCAGCUUAUCGGGCCAGCAUCGGUUUGGGCGGUAGGAUAAUGGCGUAGGAAUGUGACUUUGCUUCGGUGAAGUGUUAUAGCCUGCGUUGAUGCUGCCUGCCUAGACCGAGGACUGCGAUUUUAUCAAGGAUGCUGGCAUAAUGAUCCCAAACCGCCCGUC